GACUGCUCCGGUGGCCAAGUGGUUAGAGCAUCCACCUCGGAUGCGGAAGGUCGCGGAUUCGAAUCUCACCCGAGUCU